UUCACAAAUAUUGCGUCUUGAUGGAAUGCACAGAGCAUCCUCUUCAAGUCCUCUAUGGCAUUUCCUUCAUCUUGGCAGUCAACCUGGAAAAUGACAGCCUUGAAAUUUGUCUUCUGCUCUUCAGAUAUGGUGUUGGUGUUAGCAAGCCAAGGUCAAAGAGUUCAUCUCACCCCAAAGAUAAAUUCUUCUCCAAAGGAGGGCUACAGGAUCAGAUAUGGAAGGACCAAUAGGUUCAGCUAUAUCUGACACAAGGUCCUUUGUUGGCUGUUGGCUUCUUCUUCUGCUUCCUUACAUUUUACAGUGGUAGUACUGCAAUUGAAGACAAGCUUUAUGUCUAAACUCAACUGUUAAUGCUGUUCUGACUGACAAGUAUCUCAAUCCCCUUAAUCUUUGAUGUCUGGUACAUACCAUAUACUUGUAGUGCC